GCUGUAUGUGAUGAGUUUGCAAAAUGUCCACUCUAGAAGUUACAAAAAUAUUACUUCAUUGAAUUACUGAAGAUUUCCCAAGAGCAAUGACUAAAUUAAUUAAAAAUUAACAGUUAAUUUAAAAUUAAUUUCAUGGACAAUUAGCUCCAAUGUUGCUGACCAAAUCAGACUGACUAUAUAGUUCUACUUUUGCUGGAAAGAAGGUAAAGAAGUUGCAAUUUCCCUUGCUACAUCACAGUUUGCAAAAAUUACUCACUUCAUGCUAUGACUGGAAGACAUAUUAUUACUGGCAGCAUAUGGUACAGAACUCACUCCAUGAAUCUCAUUCUAGCUUGUGAAUCUUUUUUCCUCACUUACAGUGGAAACUGCUUCUGCUUUGUCAAAAGUCUUCCAUUGCUUGAAGAUAUUAAUAUAUUUAUUUCACCCUCUACUUAGAUAUUCUUAGAAUAUCUAGAGGUCAGUGAAAUAAACCUCUCAUCAUCCUGUAAGGUGGCUCCUUCUGGAAUGUAUCAUCUGAAAGAGUGAUCUCACAUUUAAAGUUGUCACUGCCAAGAUGGAUUGACAGCAAGUCUAGCUAAAGGAAACACAUGACAAUAACAGAAAGGUCUUCUCGAGCUAUUCCAUGUCAGUGUCCUUCAUCUAGAAGAUUCAAUUUUCCUUUAUCUAACACCUAAUUUGGGAUAUGCUAAAAUAACUCAGUAGCAGCCUGCUCCAUUGCCCCAUGAAAUAAAUUGAAGGACUCCCACGGAGCUGAUCCUAUUACAGCAGGCCCUACAAGGAGAAUUCCUCUCUUUGACAUUACUAAUGAGUGAUAUAUUGAAGUUAUUUUUAACGUCAGAAUUUUGGAUUUUCCUUCAGUUUCUUCAGGAAAAUAUUUGGGAUUUUUUUGCACUCUUCCCAUAAAUGCACAAAGGAAGAUAACUCAUUUCAGACAGCAAGAAUUUUAUCAAUACAAAUAUUCUUUUUCCUGUUGACCGUACAAAUAAAUGAUAAACACAUGUUAUUUCCUGCAGAAGUUCAGCACUACACUACUAAGCAGGGUACAGGUAAUCACUCCCUGGUCACUGACCUGUUUAUAUGUUAGGUUUAGAAACACUGCCAGAAUUAAUUGCAGUUUCAGCAGCUGGUGUUACCUGCAGGUUUAUGCUAGGUUUUUUUGUUUUGUUUUGGCUUGGUUUGAUUUGAUUUUUUUUUUUUUUGGGGGGGGGGGGGGUGGGGGGGGAGG
ensembl:lncRNA